UCAGCUUGUUGGUGAGGUAAUGGCUCACCAAGGCGUCGACGGGUAGCCGGCCUGAGAGGGUGACCGGCCACACUGGGACUGAGACACGGCCCAGACUCCUACGGGAGGCAGCAGUGGGGAAUAUUGCACAAUGGGCGCAAGCCUGAUGCAGCAACGCCGCGUGAGGGAUGACGGCCUUCGGGUUGUAAACCUCUUUUAGCAGGGAAGAAGCGAAAGUGACGGUACCUGCAGAAAAAGCGCCGGCUAACUACGUGCCAGCAGCCGCGGUAAUACGUAGGGCGCAAGCGUUAUCCGGAAUUAUUGGGCGUAAAGAGCUCGUAGGCGGUUUGUCGCGUCUGCUGUGAAAUCCGGAGGCUCAACCUCCGGCCUGCAGUGGGUACGGGCAGACUAGAGUGCGGUAGGGGAGAUUGGAAUUCCUGGUGUAGCGGUGGAAUGCGCAGAUAUCAGGAGGAACACCGAUGGCGAAGGCAGAUCUCUGGGCCGUAACUGACGCUGAGGAGCGAAAGGGUGGGGAGCAAACAGGCUUAGAUACCCUGGUAGUCCACCCCGUAAACGUUGGGAACUAGUUGUGGGGUCCAUUCCACGGAUUCCG
rnacentral:rRNA from 1 species